AUACUGACCUGGCAGGGGAGACACCAUGAUCAGGAAGGUGGUUUUCCCAGGGCAAGGGUCACCCGGUGCACUGCGGGUGUGUUGACCCCUGCAAUUUCCCCAAAUGCGGGAAACUUGACUGCAUACUUUGUGGUAGUGGGGGACUGUAUUCGCACUCUCCCCUG
ensembl:snRNA U1 U1 spliceosomal RNA